rnacentral:lncRNA from 1 species
GAGACAAUCACAGCAGAGGAGCCUGCAGACAGCAGCGCAGGUGGGAGCUCAUGGCGUGGGAAGAGGCUACACAUUUCGGUGCCUGGAUUCCAAUCUACCUCCUUCACUGACUUGCUGUGACCCAAGGCAAAGCUGAUUAGUCUCCCUGAGCCUCAGUUCCCUCAAGUGUGAAAGUCAUAAUAACUGAAUUUUCAGUGCCACCAGGAUUGGAGGCACCCAGGAUACAUCAGCGAGCAUAACAGAUCAAGAUUCCUGUUCUUGAGGGGCUCACUUUGUGGCAGGUGGGGAU